GUAGUUGAGCUUACUGUCUUUGGAUAUUCAACAUAUUUGGAGGGCAGGAUAUAUACUUUGGUGACACAAACCACCACAGAUUAGGUCAGUUAAUGUGUUUAUUUAUCAUGAUUGUCAUUUUAUAUAAUUAUUUACAAACAAACUCUGAAUGAUCAUUUUGUGUUACAAAGCACCUUGUUUAGGCCAUUUACUGCGAACCUGAUGCUUGUGAAGCGAACUUUAUUACAGAGCGGCAGCAGCAGCUGCAUAGCAUUACGGGCCCUAGGCUAUAAUGAGUCAGGCUGAAGGCUUUUGCAGUAAAGCACAGCAAUGAGUCAGGAAAGGCUGAGAGUUGUUGAUAUGAGACCCCGAAGCAUGCAGGAGGAGAAACUGAGAGAAAAUUCGCCUUUUUUAAAAGAGUUGGCUACCCGUGCUCCGCAGCAAAAGCCUUUUCAGCUGCAAUCUCCUUGUGUUGGGUCAUGCCCGUUGGACUGGGAGAAGAAAAAGUGGCGAUGGAAGGGACAACAAAAGAGUGUCCACAGCCAGCACUCCAACAGCAGGCUGCGCACACAUUCCCAAGAGUUGUCAGCCACUUUCCCACAAAAGCUGAACACGCCAAUGAUGUUAUCGGCAGACACAAAAGCACGCAGUGAGAUCACUGCAGCUGAACGCCACGAGUGACCACGUCUCCAAUGCUCCGUCAGGACCAGCUCAAUUGACGUGGAAUUAUUUUCACGAGCUCCAAAUCCUACCUUUAAAAUUUAACAUUAAAUUAAGAAUACAAUCAGAUUUUAGCGCAGCGCCGCCCGACGCUGUGGGACAAAUCUAGAUGGCGGUGUGAUAAAUUAAAGUAAAACGAUUCGAUGCCAUUACGACUCGGAUCAAGGUACAAGGUAGUUCAAAGUAGAUAACCAUUUCACAAUAGGAAUGAACUUGUCAGUCCUGCAAAAGUGGCAAUCCUUUCAAAGAGGUCACAAGACGAGAAAACAAACGCUCCAAUUAAGUUCAAACCAGUUAAGCUAAUUAAAUUCAAAGAAGCAACAUAAAAAUGCUUGAUUUUUUUCAUUAUUUUAGAACCAAUUUAUUCAUUUGUGUAUGAUAUCUUCCACAUCAUUCAAACUCGAUUAUCCAAUUUUGCUCCAUCGCGAUGUGAGGACGAGCUUGUGGUGGACCCGCAUCCGGUGGGUCCGUUCAUCUGACAUCAAGGCUACCUUUCCACACAGUCAAGUCACACACUUGCCAGUGCAAGUUGCCACUUGACAAACCAAAAGCCCCAAUGAGAUUUUUCAAUGAGAUUUUUUGCGCCGCUUCUCAUUUAGCUAACAGCUCUCGGCCAAACGUUCGGUGUGUCAAGUCAAGCCAAGGGGUAGGCGACCAAACGAAAGCAGAUGCAUUUGACGGCGCAUCUGAGUGCAAAGCAACAACGCUGUUCCUGCGCUCUCGUGCGUGUUCGCGUCUGGAUGUCAUCAGCCGCUAUUUGCGUUCAAUCUCAAAACAAUUCCAGAUGGCAAGAGAUAAUCUCGUCAGCCGCGUAUAAAAUCCAUACGUGCUGGGAAGUCGUCGCGACGAUGCACCGGCAAGAAAAAAAAAAGAAAGACUUGGGACUUUCCAGCCUCUUCCCGAAAGUAAAUAGUUUAUGGUGGGUGGCGUUCGCCGAUUAUCGCCGGUCACCGUCUCCCGCGUGAACGCUGUCAGGGUCAAUAAACGUCAGGCCACAUUGACAAGCAGAGCGAUCCAAAAUUACGUCUCGGAUAUGUUGACGUGAGUUAUGCAUCGAGACGAUCAACGGCAAUUAGGGAGACAUCCAAAGAAGUUAUCCCAGAUUUGUUUAGCCAUUACACGCUUUCUCGGAAGGUUGGCCGUCUGCAAAGAGUGGGAGUUAGGCAUGCUGGCUCUCUCGAGUGGCCAGCAAAAAAAAAAAAUCACCAAAUGAAAUUGCGCAUUUUCCAUUCGCUUCAGCCUUCAAGUAAAAAGGUACUACCAUACGGGGGCGCUGUUGGGUGUCGUUACUUAUGUACUGCUUAUGUUCAGUUUUAUCAUUUUUGGGUAGUGACAUUGAAGUUAGAUGUCAUUGUUGUGGCUCUUAUUCUUGUCAAUCUUUUGCCCCACUUUGUUACCAAAAAAUCAUUGAAUCCAAACAUGAGCACCCUCCAUACUUGCAGCCACAGCACAGCGCAUCAGAUAACCUUUGCAUGCCAUCUUGAAAAUGCAAA